rnacentral:rRNA from 1 species
UACGAAGGGUGCAAACGUUGCUCGGAAUUAUUGGGCGUAAAGCGCACGUAGGCGGCAUUGCAAGUCGGAUGUGAAAUCCCUCGGCUUAACCAAGGAAGUGCAUCCGAAACUGCAGUGCUUGAGUACUUAAGAGGAUCGCGGAAUUCCCGGUGUAGAGGUGAAAUUCGUAGAUAUUCGGAAGAACACCAGUGGCGAAGGCGACUUACUGGACACAUAUUGACGCUGAGGUGCGAAAGCGUGGGGAGCAAACAGG